UACAGAGGUCUCAAGCGUUGUUCGGAUUCAUUGGGCGUAAAGGGUGCGUAGGCGGCGCGGUAAGUCGGGUGUGAAAUCUUGGAGCUUAACUCCGAAACUGCAUUCGAUACUGCCGUGCUUGAGGACUGGAGAGGAGACUGGAAUUUACGGUGUAGCGGUGAAAUGCGUAGAUAUCUGGAGGAACGCCGGUGGCGAAGGCGGCAUCCUGGACCGGCAUUGACGCUGAGGCGCGAAAGCCAGGGGAUCAAACGGGG
rnacentral:rRNA from 1 species